rnacentral:rRNA from 1 species
GGUUAAGCGACUAAGCGUACACGGUGGAUGCCCUGGCAGUCAGAGGCGAUGAAGGGCGUGCUAAUCUGCGAUAAGCGCCGGUAAGGUGAUAUGAACCGUUAUAACCGGCGAUACCCGAAUGGGGAAACCCAGUGUGAUUCGUCACACUAUCAUUAACUGAAUCCAUAGGUUAAUGAGGCGAACCGGGGGAACUGAAACAUCUAAGUACCCCGAGGAAAAGAAAUCAACCGAGAUUCCCCCAGUAGCGGCGAGCGAACGGGGAGGAGCCCAGAGCCUGAAUCAGCAUGUGUGUUAGUGGAAGCGUCUGGAAAGGCGCGCGAUACAGGGUGACAGCCCCGUACACAAAAGCGUAUGUGCUGUGAGCUCGAUGAGUAGGGCGGGACACGUGGUAUCCUGUCUGAAUAUGGGGGGACCAUCCUCCAAGGCUAAAUACUCCUGACUGACCGAUAGUGAACCAGUACCGUGAGGGAAAGGCGAAAAGAACCCCGGCGAGGGGAGUGAAAAAGAACCUGAAACCGUGUACGUACAAGCAGUGGGAGCACCCUUUGGGGUGUGACUGCGUACCUUUUGUAUAAUGGGUCAGCGACUUAUAUUCUGUAGCAAGGUUAACCGAAUAGGGGAGCCGGAGGGAAACCGAGUCUUAAUUGGGCGUUAAGUUGCAGGGUAUAGACCCGAAACCCGGUGAUCUAGCCAUGGGCAGGUUGAAGGUUGGGUAACACUAACUGGAGGACCGAACCGACUAAUGUUGAAAAAUUAGCGGAUGACCUGUGGCUGGGGGUGAAAGGCCAAUCAAACCGGGAGAUAGCUGGUUCUCCCCGAAAGCUAUUUAGGUAGCGCCUCGUGAAUUCAUCUCCGGGGGUAGAGCACUGUUUCGGCUAGGGGGUCAUCCCGACUUACCAACCCGAUGCAAACUGCGAAUACCGGAGAAUGUUAUCACGGGAGACACACGGCGGGUGCUAACGUCCGUCGUGAAGAGGGAAACAACCCAGACCGCCAGCUAAGGUCCCAAAGUCAUGGUUAAGUGGGAAACGAUGUGGGAAGGCCCAGACAGCCAGGAUGUUGGCUUAGAAGCAGCCAUCAUUUAAAGAAAGCGUAAUAGCUCACUGGUCGAGUCGGCCUGCGCGGAAGAUGUAACGGGGCUAAACCAUGCACCGAAGCUGCGGCAGCGACACUCAGGUGU